UACGAAGGGGGCUAGCGUUGCUCGGAAUCACUGGGCUUAAAGGGCGCGUAGGCGGCUUGCCAAGUCAGGGGUGAAAUCCUGCAGCUUAACUGUAGAAGGGCCUUUGAUACUGGCGAGCUCGAGGGAGGUAGGGGUAUGUGGAACUUCCGGUGGAGCGGUGAAAUGCGUUGAUAUCGGAAGGAACGCCGGUGGCGAAAGCGACGUACUGGACCUCUUCUGACGCUGAGGCGCGAAAGCUAGGGGAGCAAACGGG
rnacentral:rRNA from 1 species